UGACCAAGUGAUGGAUGAGGAGCGAGAG
rnacentral:sRNA from 1 species